AUUGAACGCUGGCGGAAUGCUUUACACAUGCAAGUCGAACGGCAGCACGGACUUCGGUCUGGUGGCGAGUGGCGAACGGGUGAGUAAUGUAUCGGAACGUGCCCAGUCGUGGGGGAUAACGUAGCGAAAGCUACGCUAAUACCGCAUACGAUCUACGGAUGAAAGCGGGGGAUCGCAAGACCUCGCGCGAUUGGAGCGGCCGAUAUCAGAUUAGGUUGUUGGUGAGGUAAAAGCUCACCAAGCCUGCGAUCUGUAGCGGGUCAGAGAGGACGACCAGCAACACUGGAACUGAGACACGGCCCAGACUCCUACGGGAGGCAGCAGUGGGGAAUUUUGGACAAUGGACGCAAGUCUGAUCCAGCAAUGCCGCGUGCAGGACGAAGGCCUUCGGGUUGUAAACUGCUUUUGUACGGAACGAAACGGUGAGCUCUAAUACAGUUUGCUAAUGACGGUACCGUAAGAAUAAGCACCGGCUAACUACGUGCCAGCCGCCGCCGUAA
rnacentral:rRNA from 1 species